UCCAGCUAUAAGCUAAGCCCUCAAUUGGUCAUUGUUAUUUUUAUUCUGUAGUUAUAUUUUAUUUAUUUUAUUUAUUUGUUUGUUUAUAACAGCAGCCUAUGCAGACACAGCCAGUGAACCAUUAGAGUAUCUCACCCCUCCGCGAGCAGCUUCCAGGGCAAGCAUACCAGAGCAGACACCACGAGCAGCUUCCCGGGCUGACAUAGUUGUGCAGCGUGCACCAGCAGCUUCUACACCACCGCCCUGUUCAGCCCAUGCAGACACAGCCAGUGAACCAUUAGAGGAUCUCACCCCUGCACGAGCAGCUUCCAGGACAAGCAUACCAGAGCAGACACCACCACCAGCAGCAGCAGCUCCUCAGCCCAGCUUAACUUGAGCCACCCCUAGCUUGAUCAGCCUCCGUUCAUCUGUCCUGAACCUGCAACAAGACAUCCGUCGGAUAAUCACCAAAGCUUGUGCUUUGAAAAUAAUUAUUCUGGGUAUUAUUUAAUUUCAAAGCUUUCAUAGAGUUAGUUUGUGAUAUAUUAAUUGUAUUCAAUCCUGAUUACGUUAAAAAUCUUAA